GACGAACGCUGGCGGCGUGCUUAACACAUGCAAGUCGAACGGAAAGGCCCUGCUUGCAGGGUACUCGAGUGGCGAACGGGUGAGUAACACGUGGGUGAUCUGCCCUGCACUUCGGGAUAAGCUUGGGAAACUGGGUCUAAUACCGGAUAGGAGCCAUCUUUAGUGUGGUGGUUGGAAAGUUUUUUCGGUGUAGGAUGAGCUCGCGGCCUAUCAGCUUGUUGGUGGGGUAAUGGCCUACCAAGGCGGCGACGGGUAGCCGGCCUGAGAGGGUGUACGGCCACAUUGGGACUGAGAUACGGCCCAGACUCCUACGGGAGGCAGCAGUGGGGAAUAUUGCACAAUGGGCGCAAGCCUGAUGCAGCGACGCCGCGUGGGGGAUGAAGGCCUUCGGGUUGUAAACUCCUUUCGCUAGGGACGAAGCUUUUUUGUGACGGUACCUAGAGAAGAAGCACCGGCUAACUACGCG
rnacentral:rRNA from 1 species